CCCCCCGCCCCCCAAAAAGAAGACUUCUGCUCAUAGAUCCCAAGGAAAAGGUUUGAAGGAGACCUGCUAUAGCCAUCUGCCAGUCUAACAACAACAACAACAAAAACGCAAAGCAGAGAGCAGACGUCAAGGGAUUUCAGGAAAGCAGUAUCAGGAUAUGUUGUGGAUAGCCUGUAAUCUACCCCUGAACUUCAUAUUAUGCCCAAACUCUGGUAUUUUCUAGAGCUUCAUCAAUGAUUCCCAGCUCUUCUCUUCUUACAGACUCUCACAGACUAGCUCUUCAUUCAUGCUUUUCAACAGAUUCCCAAGGACAGCAUCCUUUGUGCC
ensembl:lncRNA